rnacentral:tRNA from 1 species
GAGGGUAUAGCUCAAGAGGUAGAGCAAGAGGUCCUGGGUUCAAUUCCUAGUACCUCCU